rnacentral:misc_RNA from 1 species
UUAAGUUCAGCGGGUAUCCCUACCUGAUCCGAGGUCAAAGACGGUAAAUUGAGCUUCGUGGUCGCGGCUCCCGAGCCCCCCCGAGAAGCGCAAUGUGCUGCGCGAGAGGAGGCAAGAGCCGCUGCCAAUGGAUUUGGGGCGAGUCCACGCGCAGAGGCGGGACAGACGCCCAACACCAAGCAGAGCUUGAGGGUGUAGAU